rnacentral:rRNA from 1 species
GAUGAACGCUAGCGGCAGGCUUAAUACAUGCAAGUCGAGGGGUAGCAAGAUUGUAGCAAUACAAUUGUUGACGACCGGCAAACGGGUGCGGAACACGUACACAACCUUCCUACAAGUGGGGAAUAGCCCAGAGAAAUUUGGAUUAAUACCCCGUAACAUAGCGAUGUGGCAUCACAUUGCUAUUAUAGCUUCGUCGCUUGUUGAUGGGUGUGCGGCUGAUUAGAUAGUUGGCGGGGUAACGGCCCACCAAGUCUACGAUCAGCAGCUGAUGUGAGAGCAUGAUCAGCCACACGGGCACUGAGACAAGGGCCCGACUCCUACGGGAGGCAGCAGUAAGGAAUAUUGGACAAUGGACGCAAGUCUGAUCCAGCCAUGCCGCGUGAAGGAUUAAGGUCCUCUGGAUUGUAAACUUCUUUUAUAAGGGACGAAAAAAGGUCUUUCUAGAUCGUCUGACGGUACCUUAUGAAUAAGCACCGGCUAACUCCGUGCCAGCAGCCGCGGUAAAAC